ensembl:lncRNA
GCUCGUUACUUUCUCCGUGGCUGAAGAAACCGACAGCUGGUUCAUCCAAUUUACCCGUUAACUGUGGCGUAGGCGCUUCCCUAAUAUUAACAGAGGGCAUGUCAGCACGAGCAUCUUAGGAUUCGGAAACUCAGGACAGGGCCUGUAUGCCUGGGUUUUCUUCACCUCUGUCCAGAGACAGGCAAUGGGCAGGGACAGCGGGAGACGAGCUCCACUGGUAGAGAGUGGUUAAUCCCAGUCGGAUUAACUGAGGUUGGAUGGGACGUUUCCCCACUAAUGCCUAGCUGCUCCGUACAAGAGAGGGGACCCCUCACAUAACCGAGAAAGGACAGUAGGUGCUGGACGCCGGUCUUGUCUGUUUUUCCGGUGGGAGCCACAUCCUGGGGCCUGGUGCAUGGCUCAGUAGCAACUCUUCUGACAUGUGCCUUGAGAGAUGGAAAAGUUUUGACUCUCGAACUCUGGGACAGAAAUGUUUUGUUUUCUUUUGCCUGAAAGCCUGGCCCCUGUAUAACCUGUUGGACGGGGAGCGAGGGCCGUCUCGGGGCUCUCUAGAUUAUAAUGCUGCUCUCCAAUUAGACCUGUUUUGUAGAUGAGAAGGGAAAUGCUCAGAGGUGCCUUAUGUUCAGAUCUUCUUUGCAACAAGGGAAGACGCCGAACUGAGGAGGGCUUGUGGAUUUCCUCAGUGCGUGAUGCCAGCUCCCCCAGGACCUGGAUGCCCACCAUGUCCUGGCCCGAUUGGGUCAGACCCUCCCGAAGUUAAUCAGCCUUCUCCAGUACUGCCCACGGCUCCUCCUCUGCCUGCUCCAGUGCCAAAGUUCUAUCCCUCUUUGCUCCCCUUGCAGGAGGUAGCUAACGGAGAAUGGGGACCAAUACGGGUCCAUGUGCCUUUUUCGCUUCAGGACUUAAGGUAGAUAAAAACAGAUUUGGGGAAGUUUGCUGAUGACCCAGAUAGACGUAUUGAGGUCUUUCAGGGUCUCCCGCAGUCCUCUGAGUUAGCCUGAGAGGACGUCAUGUUAUUGCUAGACCAGACAUUGAGAAUAAGUGGAAAAAAAGUCUUAGGAGAUGCUCAGAGCUGGGGAGAUGACGGGUGUGCUGUAAAUGCCAGAGGCAGAUCAGAGGAGGAACGAAGGAGAGUCCCCAGAGGGUGUCAGGCAGUUCCUAUGAGCGAUCCUAACUGGUCUGCCGAUGAGGGGAUAAAGAAUUGGCAUAGAAAUCACUUUAUUACUUGUAUAGUUGAGGGGCUAAAAGCUACACGGGUAAAGCCUGUUCACUGCUCCAAACUGUUGGAGGUUUGUCAAGGGGAAAGAGAGAACUUUCUUAGGCUCAGAGGCCCUGAGAAAACAUAACACCAAUGGACCCAGAAUCAGCGGAGGGCCAGAUAAUUCUUAAAGACAAAUUUAUUUAUUUUUUGUUUUUCAAACAUUUUUUACUAUUACUCAAUGAAUUUAUUACUUUUAUAGUUGUACAAUGAUCAUCACAAUCCAAUUUUAUAGGAUUUCCAUCCCACAACCCCAGCGCAUCCCCCCAGUCUCCGAACCGUCUCCUUUGGAAACUAUACGUUUUUCAAAGUCUGUGAGUCAGUAUCUGUUCUGCAAAGAAGUUCUUUGUGUCCUUUUUUCAGAUGCCACAUGGUAAAAACAAAUUUAUCACUCAGUCAGCACCAUAUAUACAGAGAAAGCUCCAAAAAUUGGCUCUUGGUCCUGAUCAGGAAGCACCUCCUUAGAGCAGCAACUACAUCAUAGUCGGGACCAGGAAGAAGGAAAGGAGAACCAGAGGAGACACAGAGAAAAUCCUGAGGCUCCAGUUUGCAGCUACAGGGAGUCAGCGGGGAGCUUCCAAGGCCAGAGGACUAGGGCAGAGACCUGAGCCAGGAGCCUGUUUCCUCUGUUCCUCUGUGGAAAAGAGGACACUUUAAAUGGGAAUGCCCCCAAGCUCAGGCCACCACACCUAGGCCUCUAGGCAUAAACCCCCCUAUUGGACAAUGGUGUGUGUGUGUGGGGGGGCUCUUCUCCCCCCUCCCAGCAGCCCUGGAGCUAUUUGCUUUCCUGUAAUAAAGACUUUGCUUGCUUGCUGCCUGUGUGUUCCAGGAGUUCAUUCUUCAGCUGGGUGAACAAGAAAUGGAUUCCAGUAACAUCCUUCUGGCAUCGCUUCCAUGUGCCGCAGGUAAGGCCAUAAAAAGACAAUCAAUCAAAUCAAAUCAAAUCAAAUCAAAUCAAAAUUAACUGGAAUAUAUGUAACAAAUUAGAUUGUAAAUCAGGCAAACAGUUAAAAAAUACCUAUAAAGGGCGCAUUAUAGUUCUUGCUUAAAGUAGAAAUGUAAAAGCUCAUGCCACUUUCAGAAAAAAAAAAA